rnacentral:rRNA from 1 species
CCCUUAGAUGUUCUGGGCCGCACGCGCGCUACACUGAUGCAUUCAACGAGUCUAAAACCUGCUCUGAUAGGGGUGGGUAAUCUUUUGAAUGUGCAUCGUGAUUGGGAUAGAUGAUUGCAAUUUUUCAUCUUCAACGAGGAAUGCCUAGUAAACGCAAGUCAUCAGCUUGCAUUGAUUACGUCCCUGCCCUUUGUACACACCGCCCGUCGCUACUACCGAUUGGAUGGUUUAGUGAGAUCCUUGGAUUGGUCCUGGCGUGGCGGGUCACCGCCGUGCCAGUGUGCCGAGAAGACGAUCGAACUUGAUCAUCUAGAGGAAGUAAAAGUCGUAACA